rnacentral:rRNA from 1 species
ACGUAGGGGGCGAGCGUUGUCCGGAAUUACUGGGCGUAAAGGGUGCGUAGGCGGCCUUUUAAGUUGGAUGUGAAAUACCCGGGCUUAACUUGGGGGGUGCAUCUAAUACUGGAGUGCUAGAGUGCAGGAGAGGGAAGGGGAAUUCCUAGUGAUGCGGUGAAAUGGGUUGAUAUUAAGAGGCAGACCAGUGGCGAAGGCGACUUUCUGGACUAUAACUAACCCUAGGGCACGCAAGCGUGGGGUGCAAACAA